rnacentral:lncRNA from 1 species
UGGUCAUUACUUUCUUGCUUUGCAUAAACCCGCUUGAGAGUCCAAACGGACUUUUUCCCUUGCGUUUCGCAGUGGGCCAUGGAGGCCCAUCCUUUAGGAGACUUUGAAAAGCAAAUUGCAUGGCAUACAGAUACAAGAAGUCGAAAGAGGAAUAAUGGGUUAAAAUCCCAUACUUAAAGCGACGAUGAAGCCCGAGCCUCAUUUCUGUUUCUUUAUUUAAUGUCAUUAUCUACCUAUUGUUGUCAUUUUAUUAUUAUUUAUUUCCUCUUUUUUCUGUCAUUAUUCAUUCAUUUAGGCCUCGAAGCCGAAUUUGUAUUUAAUAUAGGUGAAGUGAGACUCGAGCUAAAGCCUCGCAAACAAAGAAUUAGGGUAGGUGAAAAUGGGUCGAAAACCAAACUAGAUUAGGACAGGGUCGAUGGUUUGGGCUUAAAAUCCCAAAUCACCACUUCCCCGCUUUUCCCCUUUUCCUUUCAUUUACUUGUUUACUUAUCUCUUUGCGAACCUAGUUAAAUCCCUAACUAAGUCGCUAAAAAACUGAUUUCGUGAAAACCUUUUCCUUAGUCAAUUACUUUUCCAACAAACCGAUUUUCCAAAGUUAAUCAAAAGAAUGUUUUCAAACAGUCUAGAUAACCGCAAGUUAGUGGACGUUGAAGGUGCCUAAAACCUUCCUAAAACGUUAAUAGGAACCUCUUACUCAGAAUCUCUAAGUUAAAACGAUUUUUCUGUUUUGAUCGUUUUAAGUAACUCUCUAAAGGUUUCUUAAUUCCUUUUCAAAUUUAAGUGGCGACUCUAUCAAAAGUCAAAAAUUUCCGCAAAACAGAAAUGGCGACUCUGCUGGGGACCUCUAACUAGGUUCUAACCAAAUGUUUAAUUUCGUCUUUUGAUUAACUGUUUAUGUAUUUAUGUGAGUCGAUUCUGUAGAGUUUAAUUAUCGCAUCUCAUGGCAUAUUCCUACAUCAUUUAAACUAUUUUGGGGUUUCGUGGGUAUCCCGGCCCCUAUUGAUCAAUUCCAAAAAUGUGUUAGAAAUACAAACAGUUUAUUAGCACGUGAGUCGUCUGAUGGCUGUUUGUAUUUUCAAACUCAAGUUGUCCGCUUGAGAACUAGUAUUCAAACCCACUCUAGAUACCUAGGAUAGAGCGAAACCAAAACCCUAUUUCAGGCAUGAGCUUAGGAUGACCCAAUACCCAAGCGGGGUAUUUGGCCCAUUAGAAAAUUUGUCAUGCGUCUAUUGACCCCGAGUCAAUUAAUGACAAACCAUAUUUAUGUGUUGAAGAAAAUGUAUGCCUGUCUAAUUCAAUCUAUUAUCCAUUGGGGGUCGGGAGAAGACUUGCUUUACUCACUUUUGUAUAAGUAUGCCUCAAUCGUACACCAAUUGACGAAGGAAUUGAAGCAAGUUAAGCAAGAAAUUGAUCGAUUUGGGAGGUUGCAUCUAAGGCACAGUUUGAACAUCAAUGGAUGUCACCAAUAUAAGAAAUGGACGAAGCUAAGAAGGUGAAAGUUGAUAGAAGAAGCACUCAGGAAUUAGUAUUUUCUAUCCCCAGUGUGGGAACGUGUCUUUUUCAUGUUAUUUCCCUUUCCCUAAAGAUUGUAUCCCUUUUAUUAUAUAUUUUGUAGGAAUUUAUGCCCUUUUAGAGUUUACAAAAGUUGGGGGAUAAUUGAUUGACCUUAAGCAAGCAUAUAUUUUUUUUCAAAAAUCGUAGGCCUGAACCCUUGGCUCAAAAAGGGUCACCCCAGCUAGGCUAUGCAUUAUUAUGUUUUGUGUGAUAUAACUAUUUUAUGUGCUUAUGUGCAUUUGUUUGGAUCAAAGGCAAGUUUAUCCACUAUGUCGUAUGGAUGAAUUUGGCUAUGACUCAAACAAAUCUAUGUGGUUAUUUCCUGUCAAAUAUUUUGCAUUACUUAUCACAUACGGAAACUAACACAUCUGCCUUUGAGUUGUUUUACUUUACAGAUAAUAGAAAUUACUCUGUGUUAACAUAAACUGGCAGAACAUCUCUACUUCACCCGAUCGAAAGCGCACAAAAUCCCAUCCUCUAACAAUCAUUCAAAAAUGAUAGAAAAUUAUGAAGAAAGCACACUGACUAUCCGGGACAAUGUGAUAGCAGAGCAGAAUAAGAUGAUUGCGGAACUUGCAAGAAAGUUAGAAAUACUUCAGAAGAAAUAAAUCACACUCUGGAUUUGGCUAACUUGGCCAUUACCGUCAAUGCCCCCGCUCCAGGAGGACACAGGACUCCACUCCAAAUUCCUCCCCUCAGUACCCCUACUCUUGGGGAUCAGCCAAAUAAUGUAUUGUCCGUCUCCGCUCCUCCAUUUGUCCAAAAUACCAAUCAUGAAAAUAACCCAGACGUCUACCCUCUGCAAAAUCCACAGAACCCGUCUCUGAAUCCAUUCCCAAAUCCUCAAAACACAUUUUCAAAUCAACAAAAUGCAUUCCCAAAUCCGCAAGAUUCACUCUCAAACCCACAAAAUACGUCAAACCUACCUUCAAAUCCCCCAAAUUCAUUUUCAAAUCCACAAAAUCCUUCUCAGAUUCCGUUAAACUAAUCGCAAAGUCCGCAUAACCUUCCCAAUUUCCAAAACUUCCUCCCCACUUACCAACCAAAUUCCUUUCAUCCAUAAAAUCAAGCCUCCCUUCCAAAUCCCUCUCAGGCCAUCGUAUCCCCUGAUAUCUAUGAACUCCUUUCUAAUUGCGAGAUGGACCAUUACGAGGAGAAUGAGAAAGAGUGGAGGACCGAGCAUGAAAGAAAUUUACUAGCUAUGGAGGAAGAGAUCAUGAGGAUCAAAGAGUCUCAUGGAGUCAGGGACCACGACAGUUUGGGGUAUGACGAUUUAUGUGUUCACCCUGGAGUAGACCUACUGGAUGGGUACAAAAUUCCUAAGUUUGAAAUAUUUGACGGUACCAAAAAUCCAAUGGACUAUCUGAGAAGGUACUGUGAGUAACUGAUAGGGAUAGGUAAAAAUGAGGCAUUGUUGAUAUGCCUAUUCAGUCGAAGUUUAAGCAGCAAAGCCUUAGAAUAGUUCAUGUCUCAGGAGCCGAAAAGAUGGACAGGAUGGAAAGAAUUAGCCAAGGUUUUCCUUGACAGGUUUGCAUUCAACAUUGAAAUAGUCCGUGAUCGAUAUUCACUAGAUCGGAUCAAACGGAGGAAUGAUAAGAGUUUUCGAGACUAUGCUUUUCGUUGGAGGAAAGAAGCUGCCAAAGUGCAACCCCCAUGUCCGAGGAAGAAAUGGUAUCCAUGUUCUCUCGCACACAAGAAAUAGAAUAUUAUACCAGGAUGAUGUCAGAUGUUAGGGAAACUUUUACGAAUUUAGUAAAAAUAGGAGAAUCAUUGGAAGAAGGUAUUCGUACAGGGAAAAUUGCCAAGACCCCGGCAUUAUCUAGGGCUGCCAUGUUUUCGAAGAAGAAAAAGGAAGAUGUAGGCACGAUUUCUGCUAAUCUUAUUGCAAAAAACAAAAAAGAAGAUCAACUCUAGGAAUGUUUUCUCUUCUCCGCCAUCACCAAGCUUUCAACAUGUAUUCUAUGCCCACCCCCAAUACCAAGCUCUACAGCUAAAUAUCUCCCCCCAAUACCGAGCCCCACUCCCAAACCUCCAAUCCUCAUACCAAGCUCCACAGGCAAAUAUCUUUCCCCAAUACCUAGUUCCACAUCCAAAUUAUCAGUCUUAUUUCCAAUCCACUCCUCAAAAUAACCCAACAAAUUCCCAAGCGCCUCCAAAUUAUCACCAAGUACCUCCUCCUACAAAUCAAAUCCAUUAUAACCCCCCACAUCCAAACCACGAAAAGAAAUUCCCCAAAACUUCACACCACAAAAUGAAAGUCGCACCCAAUUUUUUGAAAGAUUGAAGAAAUGCUGGUCAUUUGCAACCAAUACAGCCAAGGACUGUCAAUCCUAACUCUUGAUUUUUUAAUGCAAGUCAACAUUGUUCCUAUCAUUAAGGAGCAGUGAGGCACAGUACUAAGGAUUGUAUCUACCUGAAACAUAGGAUCCAGGAUUUAAUCGAUCAUAAGGUCAUCACGCUCGAGGCACCUACACCAAAUGUUAAUAGUAAUCCAUUGCCCAACCAAUGGGGACCUAUAGUUAACAUGAUUGAAAUAGAGGAUGAAUAGAUGUUAAAUAAUGAUGGUCUUGGGGAUGGGAUAGGAAAUCUGUUCAAGGGAUGCAAUGUUGUACCGGAAGAUUUUUUAAAACACAGUUGGGUAAAGAAGGUUGCACCAGGAGAGGCUUUACAAAAUUAGACUUCCACUCUGCUCCUAAUUCGUCACCCGUCGUGGUAGAUGGAAGGGCAAUUACUAAUAGUUUUUAAAAUCGGUGAUGAUCCAGAGAAGGCCCCAUGAUCCACCCUUUUAUGUUUCAAAUUUUUGUUUCGUGUUUUAAAACUUUCAAAAAGGCAUGGGCCCACAUUUAUGUGGGUCAUAAUCCAUGGUUUUUAUUUAUUUAUUUUCGAAAAGGCCUCCCUUUAUUUAAGAAGUUAUUUUUUUAAAAUAUGAUUAUCUAGCUUGGUUUAUUUUGGUAGCAUUAAUUUAAAAACCUGCCAAUGUCAUGUCAUGUCAAGGGUUAGACGAACAAGGCAAAGGAAAUAAUGAUGAACAGAUAAGGUGAUAAGGAGCAGCUAGUAGUAGAUAUAGAGGAAUGUGAAAAUCAAAAGAAGCCCAACCUGGAAGAGCUCUGAUUUUGUCAUAGAUGGAUAGCACAGAGUGGACCAAACCAAUCAAUUCUGAUGUGGUAAAGAGAUAUUAUGUUUGAAGGACGUUCUAGUUUUCGUGUUUCUUUAGUUAAUUUACUUGUAAUCACGUUCGUAGUAAUGUUUUUUUCUAGUAUGUAACUGCCUAGAAUCCUUUCCCUUUAUGUACGAACUACGUUUGACCUAAAUUCCCAAGAAAGGGAUUCAUAAUCGGCCUAUGUCGGCUUCGGUCAACCCCUUGGGACAAUUUAUCCUUUCCCUUUAUUUACGAACUAUGUUUGACCUGAAUUCCCAAGAAAGGGAUACGUUGGCGGCCUAUAUUGGCUUCGGUCAACCCCUUAGGACAAUUUAUCCUUUCCCUUUAUGUAUGAACUACGUUUGACCUGAAUUCCUAAGAAAGGGAUACGUAGGCGGCUGCUUUGGUCAACCCUUAGGACAAUUUAUCCUUUCACCCUAUGUAUGAACUACGUGAUGACCUGAAUGCCGAAUAAAAGGGAUACGUAGGUGGACUAUGUUGGCAUUGGUCAACCCAUUAAUUUCUUUUGUAUAUCCCUAGCGUAGUUCUGAACUACAUUUGACCUGAUUCAUGUUUCAACGAGAUACGUAGGUGCCCCAAUGGCCCGAUCAUAUAACCCCAGAAAAUGGAAACUGGGGAAGAAGUUUUGAGAAGGAAUCUCGAAAAUUCACAAGAGUAGAUCGGCAUCCAACAAAGAGACUGAAGAUCAGCAAAGACUUCAGAUCCACUCAGAUUGGUAUCAUCUCAAACAACUCUAAACUGGGGCAAAAAUUUUGAGGGAAGACCUCAAAAUUUCCACCAGAUGCUGGAACAUAUCUCAAAUUCCCCAGCACGAGAGGUUAAGGCCAAACUUUUAAAGUAGUCAACUGCGACAAAGUCUAGGCAAGCUCAAUCUCUUUCUAUGAUAGAACUACUUGAAGAAAACCUCUAACAAUGAUCAUGAGCUUUGGGAAUCAUUCGUCGAAUAUAGUCAAAACCAUGAGGAGGACGUUCAUUGAGCUAGUACAUGACAUGACUGGCAGAGAUUUUCUAAAGUUUUACAGAAGCUUUUGAAACUAUUUUCUAAAAAUUAAGACUAUUUUCAAAAAUCUUACAACUCACUUAUUUAGUACUUACCUAGACAUCACUCGGGAUGAAGUGUCAGGACGGAAGUACCGAUAUGGCAAAAUGCCCAAGAGAUGGCGAACAGCAAAUCAAGGAUCGAAGAAGGUCAACACAGAGUAAUUUCAUUAAAACUAAUCAUUUUUCUGUGGAUGCAGGGAUCAAUACAAAAAAAUGAGAGUUUCUUUCAAAAAUCCCCAGCAAAUUGGGAGCCACACCAGAGUACCAAUGCUCAAGAAUGGUAAUUUAGGGUAGCCCUAAAAAUGGGUUUAAUACCCAUUUAUUGAGGACCUUUUGAUUUGUCCACCUCAUUUCUUGAGAUCAUGGAACACAAACAAAGGUGUAUUGUCUUCUUUGUAAAUAUUGUAUUUAGAAGUUGCCUAAAAAUAGUCGCUAGCAAAACCGACUUUGUGUCUACUAAUCAUCUACCUUGAGUACAAGUACAUGUAGAAAGAAAGACGCAGACAAAUGAACUCAGGUAAAAUUAUUUUAAAAUUUGCCAAGAGGGCCAUUGCAUAUCAUUGCCGCAAAGACCAUUACAUAUCAUUUCCUCAAAGGCCAUUACAUAUAAUUGCCGCAAAGGCCAUUACAUAUCAUUGCCUCAAAGGCCAUUUCAUAUCAUUGCCACAAGGGCCAUUGCAUAUCAUUGCCGCAAAGGCCAUAGAAUAUCAUUGCCGCAAGGGCCAUUGCAUAUUAUUGCCACAAAGGCCAUUACAUAUCAUUGCCGCAAAGGCCAUUACAUAUCAUUACCACAAAGGCCAUUACAUAUCAUUGCUGCAAAAGCCAUUACAUAUCAUUUCCGCAGAGGCCAUUACAUAUCAUUGCCGCAAUAGCCAUUACAUAUCAUUGUCACAAAGGCCAUUACAUAUCAUUGCUGCGAGGGCAAUCGCAUAUCAUUGCCGCAAGGGCCAUCUUAUAUCAUCACCCAAGAUGGCUGUUCAAUAUAUAUGUGGAUGCGCUAGACACAAUGCUGGUGUCGAGGAUAUCAUCAGCAUUCAAUAUAUCUAUUGACGUGCUAGACACAAUGUUGGCAUCAAGGAUAUCUUAUUAUUUUAUAAAUCAACAUCUUAAUGCAUCAAGAGCACACGAUUUGAAAGGACGCCUUUAAGUUGUUAUCUAAGGAUGAAUGAUAUAUAAGAUUUCCUAGAAAUUGACAAUUUGAGGGUCAUCUAUAAGUCAUAUUAUUUGAAAUAGGAUAGUAUGCAAGAUCACCUAUGAGUUGAUAGCUUGCAGGCCAUCUGUAAGACACAACAACAUCCUAACUGUAUAGUGUGAAAGAUCGCCCAAAAGUCGAUAGUUCAAAGGUUAUCCAUAAGUCGCAACUAAAUCCUUACCAAAAAUAUGCAAAAUUAUCAAAUUGAUACGUCCAAAGGUUCUCUAUAAGCCGCAUCAUAUCCAAGAUCGAUUAUGUGUAUGAUUACCCAAAGACUAACAAUUUAAGGGAUUAUCUAUAAGUCAUGUUGUAUCCAAGGUCGGAUGAUGUGCAGGAACACUUGAAAGUUAGCGAUUAGAGGGAUAUCUAUAAGCCAUCUCUUAUCCAAAGUCGAAUAAUGUGCAGGAUUACCUAAAAGCUAACAAUUCAAAGGAUAUCUAUAAGUUUCCUCGUAUCCAACGUCAAAUAGUGCGCAAGAUUAUCCAAAGAUUGACAAUUUAAGAAAAACUUAUAAAUUGAUCAUCGGCUAUAACCGGAGAGGUUUUCAUUCCACAUACAACAAGUGAUAUAGGUAACCAAAAGGGUUGCCACUCCAGCACAAGAUUACACGGUUGUAGGGACCGUUCUGGAUAAAGUAUCGCCGGUGUCCCCCACUUGGAAGACACAUUCAACCGACAAAUGUCACAAUUAUACAACAACCAAGAGGGUUGUUGUGUUUGUUAUUGCCAGUUAUUUCAUUCCAAAUAGGUACAUGAAGAGAUGACUCCGCUUUUCAGGCCACAACUUACUUAAAGAUAUGGUAAAAGACUACAUACCUCUAUCGUGAAUUAUGUUUAGCACUAACACUUUUUGCUUGAAGCAUUUUCGAGAGCAUCCGAUAGGAUGAAAAUCUCAAAUCAAAACAACAGCUGUAGACGACUUCAAAGAGGAUGCAACACAAUGCGGAACUCUUUCUCAGUAGCAAAAUGGGACAUACUCUAGAGAGGGAUGUCAAACUCUCUAGACGCGAGCUAAAUGAUGAUCACCACCACCAUCUAACCACGCCUCUAUUAGAAGGCAUGUGGAUAUUUUUGGAUGUUCUUGUCUCAGUUUUACCUCUGGGAUAUUUUCUUAACUCAUACCGACGAAAACUUUCUUUUUCUUUCAAAUUCGGGUGGCAACGCACUUAGAGUUUUGGAAAUUAUAUUCAGGUAAAUUCUUGACUAUGGAUGUGAAGGAUACCACAUUCAUGGUUAAUAGGUUACAAUCCUCUUUUUCGCAACUCAAUCAACUUGUCACUCAUUCUGAGCCAAAGAUAGUCUGAAAUAAAAGACUAUCUUUUCUACCGAUUGAGUCGAACUACAAGCAGUCUGAUUUCCUGAAAUCUUGGGGAUAUGUAGGUUGGGAUCUAUGUAGAAAACUAGACUGCAUUCCAACCUCCCCCCAAAUCCCUCUAUUCCCCAGCUUUUCGGCUUUAUCGAGAAUUCCAAAAAUCGAGACAACUUGUGAAUUUUUUAAAAAUUGUGCUUUAAAUCAAGCCUUAUGAACUACAAGUAACCUUAAUUCUCAUGUAACCUGAGAUAUGUGAGAAACCCAAUACCGAGGUUCGGCCAUAAUUCUUGCAACUGGUACGAAAACCCACCUCUUUCCCAUUCGAAUUUGUGGUUGAACAAAAUUAGGAACGUCAACCUCCCUUUGCCAAGGGUUGCUUGCAUUCACCCUACCCAAAAAGAGGGAGCAAUUGUUGACACCUAAUUUUUGUUCUCCACGACUAAGUUUAAUCCCGAAUUUCUUGAAUAUUAAAUAAAAUCACAACAUAUAUUUUUUUUUGAACAAAGAUAUUUUUCACAAUUAUUCAGGUAAAUUUGUAAACUUUAAGUAAAGAUUAUAUAUUAUCGUGUUUUAUAUAUAUGAUAUCAUAUAAUUUGAUUACUUGUAUAUUUAUUAAAAUAUUAGAUUUUAAUUAAGUCUUAUUCCAAAAAUAUUUUUAAUAAGUUGAUUUUAAGUACUACGUGUUCUUGAAAUAGCUUAUACGGAAAUAAUUAAGUAAACAUAUGUGUGUGAGUUUAUCAAGACAAGAAGCUCAGGUUAAAUGAGGUAUUAAUUCAUUUUGAAUUUUGAUUCAGUUUAGCCAAUCUAUUAGGAACGCCAUAAUCGAAAUCCAAAUGGCCAUAAUUGCAAUGCAAUUGGCCAAUUGAUUUCAAUUUGGCCAAAGCCUAAAUAGAAUUGGCCAAUUCCCCAAUAAUUAAAAUAGCCUAAAGGUAGACCAGCUUUAGUACCACUAAACCCAAAGUCACAUCCUCCAAACGGCCCAACAUACGCCAGAAACCAUUAAAAUCCACAUAACUCUCUCCUAGCCCAAUCAAUUAAGGCCCAAUUUUAGCAUCCCAUCAGUCAAUGAGGAUUUUUUUAUCUCUUUUCUCCUCUUCUUUCUCUUUUGAAUUGGAAGUUUUAGAGGCAAAGGUGGGUUCAAAAUAUUUUCAGAAAAGCUGAGGGUUGAAAAUAUUUAGUUUGAAAAUCUGGGGGGUUUCAAAAUCUCUAAGAGAUAAAGCAAGGGGAAACUCUGUUGGUGGUCGACGUCACGAGAUUUCGAUAGCAACAAGUUUUCUGAUAGCUCAUCGUUCCGUUUGCUGCCCCGAAAGAGGUAAAUGCAUGCUCGUCCCUUUUUCUACUUCAUUUUGAUGUUUCCUGCUUCAUCCAUCUUUCUUCGUAGAAGUAGUUAUCUAUGUAUCGUGAAUGAUGCUGGGUUGUCUGUUUGGGCUGUCUGUUGUAAAGGUCUUUAAGACCACAGAGCAUAGUUUGCUGAAAUGGCUGCUUUUCGUGUAAUUAUAUGUGGUGUCAAAUCGCCAGCUUAGCUGUUAAGGAAUACUGCUUGAGUCUCACAUGCCUGUCUCAACUUAGUAAUCUGCUACUUGAUUUUCAAUUUGUUAAUUAGUUUUUCGAUUCGCUGCUGUGUAUUGGUAUUGAUCAUGGAUUUAAUCCACUGUUUCACUUCACUGGUUAGCCGACGUAUCAUGUUAUAAUUGGUAUUAUGUAAAAGUUUCACGUUUUAAUAGUUGUAGGUCUAAUAAUAUCCUGUUACAAAUGAUCCUACGUCAAGUUCGUGUUUUGCAUUUAUUUCAUAGUUUCAGGGUGCGGGUAUGUUGUUAUAUCUAAUUUCGCGGGUAAGGUUCAGUAUUUUUACUUGUUUAGUAAGUGUAGAGCUGCCAGAGUUUUGUUUACCUGAUUCGACGGUUAGAGUCGCGUGUUUUGGCACUUAUCAAAGUUCUGUUGGAAUUUUAUUGAUCUUUUCAUGACCAAGGUCUCCUAUUUUGGUUCUGUUUGAUAAAUUUGGGAUUUCCAAAGUUCGUUUACCUGAUCUCAGUGUUCCUUUCAUUAUGGUAUUGUAAAGUUUGAACUUGUUAUUUCACCUUCGAUUUCAUUCUAAGUCGAUAUGUCUAUUUGUUGGAUCCCCCAGGGAAAUGUAAUUGUCUUAUUGAAAUGUAAUUGUCUUAUUGAAAGAGGAUGGGUAGGGUCCCUUCGAUAUUGUAUUUGAGUCUGAAUGAUAUUGUAUAAUGAAGAUAUGAUCUUGACUUUCAAAUGACCCAGUUUAUGAACAUCCUUCGCAUUUCGUUCGAAGCCUGAAUGUUUAAAUUUUGAGGUUAUAAUAUGUGAAAAGAUUAUUUUGACCAUUAAGAGAAACGAGUCUUUCGUUAUGUGUUUGGGAUUCCCCGUGUUUCAUUCUUGGUGUUUUAUAUAGUGUUCUAACGAUGUGUUUGAGGUAAAUUAUUUGGGUGGAUUACUAGUGUUAGCUAAAGUUCCUCAACUCAUUAAUUAAUAUGAAAGAUUUAAGCAGGUGGCAGUGCAUUUGAUGUAAGGGAAAUUCUCCCGCUUUGCUCAAACUAAUUUUCUUUGAUUGCCUCUCCAUGGUCCGAUAUUUUGAGUUUUCUAUUUGUUAUUUUCCAACUAAUCUUAUAGGAUUUUGAGGGUAAGCAUAGGAAAGAUUUUGACUCAGAAUGUUGUUUGCCUAUAUGAACGCACCCUCACACUUCUCAUUAGCCUUAUGGCUUUGUUUUGACUGACUAGGAGUUAGUUUGCUCUGUGAUGUCUUUCCUUUAGAUAGUCAUAUGUCAUGCAUCUUAUUUUUUUUAUUUGUUUCCUUGAUUUAAUGUUUGUGUUUCUCUCCUUUAACUCCCCUUUUCCUUUUCUUUCUUAGUUGAUCAAAUAUUAAUGGUCAUUACUUUCUUGCUUUGCAUGAACCCGCUUGAGAGUCCAAACGAACUUUUUCCCUUGCGUUUCGUACUGGGCCAUGGAGGCCCAUCCUUUAGGAGACUUUUAAAAGCAAAUUUCAUGGCAUACAGAUACAAGAAGUCAAAAGAGGAAUAAUGGGUUAAAAUCCCAUACUUAAAGCGAUGAUGAAGCUCGAGCCUCAUUUUAGUUUCUUUAUUUAAUGUCAUUAUCUACCUAUUGUUGUCAUUUUAUUAUCAUUUAUUUCCUCUUUUUUCUGUCAUUAUUCAUUCAUUUGGGC